UACGUAGGUGGCAAGCGUUGUCCGGAAUUAUUGGGCGUAAAGCGCGCGCAGGCGGUCUUAUAAGUCUGAUGUGAAAGCCCCCGGCUCAACCGGGGAGGGUCAUUGGAAACUGUAGGACUUGAGUACGGAAGAGGCGAGUGGAAUUCCUGGUGUAGCGGUGAAAUGCGCAGAUAUCAGGAAGAACACCGGUGGCGAAGGCGGCUCUCUGGGCCUUACCUGACGCUGAGGAGCGAAAGCGUGGGUAGCGAACAGG
rnacentral:rRNA from 1 species